ACGGAAGGACUCUGAAAUUUUCCCAGGUUUCUCCCAGCAGGCCUUACAGAAAUGAAGCUCACGGUGUAUGUGCCCCUUCUGCACUCCCCACACGACAAUCCCUAUCGACGUGGAUAUGUACGUGCAUCUCGGACCAUGGAAUCGCAGUCCGCGUAUAGGGGAGACACCUGCUGGUGCCCGGCUGGAUGGCACCUCACUGCCUGCUACAGGGAUUGCUGGAAAGCGAGGAGAAGGAAAGGGAGAACAAAUUAACCUGUAAAAUGGGCUUUACCACCUUUUUACCACGAAAAAUGGAGGGGUUUUUUUAGUAGGCUGGGUGCUGAGAAAAAUUUUGCUUUUUUUUUUUUUUUUUGGGAUGACAACCUCUCUGGCACUUGAUAUAAUCAAAUCACAAAAUUAACUUAAUUAUAUGAUGGAAGAAGAAGUAAUUAGACUGAAAUUAGACGUGCAUUCAGUGAAAUCCAAGGCACAUAUAUUUUAGAGGCAAGUGCUUGUUGUGGUUUCAGCCCAGGCAGCCACUCACUCACUCCCCACAAGAAGGAUCAGGGAGAAAAUCCAGAAGGGUAAAAGCAAGAAAACUCAUGGGUUGUGAUAAAGAGAGUUUAAUAGGGAAAGCAAAAGCAAUGCGCACAAGAAAAGAAAAACAAGGCAUUAAUUCACUGCUUCCCCUGGGCAGACAGGUAUUCAGCCAUCUCCAGGAGAGCAAGGCCUCAUCAUGCCCAACGGUGACAUGGGAAGACAAACUCCAUCACUCCAAAUUUCCCCUGCUUCCUCCUUCCCCCCUCUUUAUAUACUGAGCAUGAUGUCACAUGGUCUGGAAUAUCCCUUUGGUCAUUUGGGGUCACCUGUCCUGGCUGUGUCUCCUCCCACCCUCCCAGGCCCCCUCAGCUUCAUCACCAGCAUGGCCGACACAAAAAGCAGAAAAGGCCUUGGCUCUGUGUAAGCCCUGCUCAGCAAUAACAAAAACAUCUCUGUAUUAUCAACCCUGUGUUCAGCACAAAUCCAAAAUACAGCCUCAUAGCAGGCCCUGGGAAGGAAAUUAACUCUACUCCAGCCAAAACCAGCAAACAGGGUUAGGAAAGAAUGUAAUGCAGAGAUUAACACUUGAGGCAUCCUAAACUUGUAUGCUAGGAGCAGCUAAUAAGAGAAUUCAGAAGUGGCAAAACAUUUCUUGCUUAAACUCUGCAUGAAGAUAUGCUAAUGAAAAACCUAAGAGUGAUUGUACAAUAUUCAAAUUAAAUAUUUUUGCCAAAGCAAUAAUGUCCAUCUAGUAAUGAUUCCAAGUAAAUGUGUGAACUACAUCAAAAUUAAGGGUAUUUUUACAGAACAUUAGAGGAUCAGCUAAAGCAGGUAAUUUUUUCAGGCGUCAUGCAGACAUGACAUGUCCAGGGGAACAUAGCAAGAGAAUUACUGCAGAGACAUUCUGUACAAACAAAAAGGAGGUAACUAAACUGUCUUUGGCAAAGAAUGAUACAGUCACCAAAAAUAUAAAUGGAUCCAAACAGUACCUAUUUAAAAUUCAUGGAAAAACAUGCUAAUCAAGGGCUAUUAAACAGUCAUCUAUGUAACAAAAAAAUAAAUAUUCAGAAUCAUUAUUUCUCGGCAGUAUCAGUAGAACAGGAGAAACUAAUAAGAUUCAUUAUCAAUUGCUAGACCUGAAUGGUGUUCACACAGAAGUUCUACAGCUGAUGAUAUAUCCCAAAGAAAGUACUCUUCUUCCUCUAUAGCACAAGGUCCUCUUUCAUGACCAAGCUGUUUGUCUAGCAGUGUGCAUGGUUAAAGGGUGUUUAGGUCAAAGCCUGCCCUCUGUAGACCUCCUGAAUAUGCCUACAUUCAGUUGUUCGUUUCUGCCUUAGCAUCUGGCAGCAAGAUGCUUAUUCUGUUGUCCCCACCAUCACAUCUGCACUCACUCAUUCAGUAAAAGGAUCCCUUUGUGGAAUAAGCAACAAAAAUGAGCACCUCUUAUAUUAGACUGGACUGAAAGUUUUGGAACAGGCCUUCAAUAUUCUCUAUCUGUUCUUUCAUUCAGUCCUAAGAAUAAGAUUUAGAGGUAAAUGAAGCUUCAUUUAUGAAACUUUGCACAUUAGCAUUUCUCAAAAUCUCUAACUUUGUUAUACAUCUACAAAGGAUUCUAAGCAUUCUAAGCCUCUUUCAGCAAUACUUAAAUAUUUUUGUUACUGAAUAUUUGGUUUAAUGUGUCAUGAAAAUUACACAGUGAAUGUUUAUGAUUGAUAAUAGAGCCUUUAUACUUUAUUAAAACACAUUCUGACCUGCAAAUAAGAUGAAGAAAAUCCAAGCUUAUAACAGGAGAGCUCUCCUUUCCCCCAGCCUGGAUCUUAUGUAGUGCUCAGUUAAUUAACACAUGCUCUUUCUUUUUAUCUUGAGGUUCUAGUUAGUAACUACCAAUAUCUUAUGAAAAAAAAGGCAUACAGCAGUAGCUAAGGAAGCCCAGGAGAGUCAAGGCUUCUGGAAGCCCAAAUAAAGUUGACAAUGAAAUGAAAAAACAUCUCUUUACUUCUCCAGGUGGUGGCAGAAGCUUAAGAAGUAAUUUUGCUUUGCAGAACAACUCCGUCCCCUCACGUUAUAUUUAUUCACAGGAAAGGUUGUUUCUCAGACUUGAAAAUAUCUCUACCAUUCCCUUCCUAAAAGCCCACUAAGAAUACAACAUAGAGCACUCAUGAUAAAAGCUGUGUUAAGUCCCCUGACUUACUAUUCAUUUUCAAUCAUGCUAUUUUUGAAGAAUUGUAACAAUUUAGAUUAAUUAAAGGAAGUAGACUGUGAAUAACUUGAAAUGGAGGAGGGAAAGAAUAGGGAAAAAGAGGGAAAUUCCUUUAGGUGUUAAGGGAUUCAUUUAUCAAGAAAUGUUUUGUCUUUUAUGUUAGUACAUGUAAUAACUUCAUGGCAAAAUUGCUUCAAAGGCGCAUGCAUAAAGCAGUUUCAAGAUAAACCUUGUCUCAUUAAAAUUUUUCAAGUUUUAAAGGCAAGAGUUAAUAAAUUAUGCAAUGUAUGCAUAACAUACAAACAAGAUUUUGCUGAUAAAAGAUAUUUGAAAAGACUUUAAAAGGCACACAGGUCUGCACCAGCUCCUAUUGACUUCUCAUAUGAUUUAACAUGCAUUAAAUCUCUAAAAGAGGGAAGAAUUUUUAAGAUUAUUAAUACAGAUACUUCAUAAAUCUGUUCACAUUUGUGAACUUUGCUAUGUUUUGAGACAGCUGGCAUAAUUUCCAGAACUCUUCAUCUUAGCAGUGCUGAAUGGAACUUAAUAUGAAUACUGAAAAUUCCUCUUCUCUAAGGAAAACCCAUUAUUUUUUUAGGCAAAAAAACCCCAAACCAAUAUUAUCUAUAUUAUUCUUCUCUGCAUGAAAAACCUUUUUUUUUUUUUUUCUUACUAUAAACUCUUUAUUGUUGAUGCAUAUUUCCUGCUGUGUAAGUGUAAAUUCCAGUUUGGGGGCAAAUAGUUCAAGAAGCAGGAGAUGAACUCUUAAUCACCUCUGCAUUUUCUGUCUGCUACAGUAUGUGAAUAUUAGCUAAUUCAGCAUUAUUUAAGAUAAUGUAGCAGGAAGUUUAUGCUUGAUGUUUGAACUAGUUUCAAAUUACCCUGAUAAAAGGAAUUCAUCAGACUUAGCCAACAAAAAUCCAAUGCUUUAUAUUUGUUUUCCCCAGGAAUAAAUUUAAAAAAGAAAACUACCCAAAACAAAACAAACCAAAACGAUCAAAAAAAGUCCCCAAACCCAAACAAGCUCUCCCUUCCAAACAAAAAACCAAACAAAGAAACACCCUAAUUUCCUUCCCCUUCUUCUUAGAUUUUCACUGUAACUCUUACAUUAUGUAAAGAGUGUUCUUCAAUCACAACCUUUAUUGCACUACCAGAAAUGAUGCUGACAGCUGGCUAGGUUUGCACCAGUAUCACAAAUAAGUAACAGGGUAUGAAAAUAAAUUGCUAUUCAUCUUGCAAAAAGAUCAGCCACCAGUGAAGAUUUCAAUCUAUGUACUGUAGAAAUUUUACUUAUUUAUUUUCGACAUUAUACCAUAGAAGAACAAGAAGUAAUAUAAAAGGGGUAGCUGUGUGGGUAUUUAGGAGUACUUCACAGGAACAAGACAGAAUAUAACAUCCAAUCAUUCUCAAUAGGUAUAAGCUGAUUUUUAUCUAAGUCAGGGAAGAAGAAAUUUAAUUAAUAGAAAUUCAAAACUAAGCAGAUCUGAAAGUCUGUUAACUAAAUCAAUAAGGAGAAAAGGGAUAUUUAAGUAUAGAAAUUACUUUUUCCCAUUUUUCUAAUACAUCCAGCUGCAAAAGAUAUUUUUCACAGGGCAUUUUCUGCAUAUUGAUUUGAAGUUAAUCUGUAUUCUGUUCUGUAGCAAUACAGAGAUUGUGGUAAAAGUGAAAAAUUUUUAUAACAUCAUUUCUACCCUGACAGUUAUUUUGUGAUCAUUAAUUACAUGCCUUUGAAGUAAAUUCCAGCCUGAUAGGCACAUUUUAAAAGUUACCUGAACAAUUGCAGGAAGUAAAUUUUGUUGUCCUUGAUUGCAAAAAUGACAGAACUGGCUAAGAGGGAACCAAUUAGUGUGAAUAGGAACAGGAUAUGAGAAAGGUUUAUUGUUGUAGAAAUGUUAACUUUUUUUGUAGCUCCUUUUUCUGUAAAAAUCAAACAAACACUUUUUUGUUCUGAAAUCAGAGAAAUUCUAGUCUGAGUACAUAAAAAGUAUAUCCCUUCUUUGCUACUCGUUUGUGCAGAAAGUUUCUAGUUACAGAAAAUAUAAACUUUAAACCCAUUUUGUUCUAAUCAGAAAGUUUAUACUCAUUUUAACCUUAUAUUUUUAUGCCACCCAAUAAGAGAAGUUUUUCAUAUGAUAUACUAAGAAUUAGGUCGCUUUAUUAGAAACAUCAGUAAGUUCAAGAUCUGAAGUCUUGAAUCAGUCUGAAAGCCCUUUAUAAUAUUCUGCUCAGAUUCAGAAAUAAAAUAUCAAUGGCAUUUGUAUUCCUGCCUGGGACAGUUUUUACAAAAAACCCAAAUGUUCAGAUGCUACAACAUAACCACUUUUUGUGUAUAGUGGAACCAAAGGUACCACCACUGUUACGUACCUUGAAUAAGGGCAUCUGUAUAGCACUGUAAUAAGACUGGAAAGAGCAUGUUACCUUUUACAAUAUCUAUUAUUUCUAUAAAUGGUCAUUUUUCCUUAUGUAAAAAACUGCAGAAAUAUGACAUUUUGUUGCUUUUGCAUGAAAUGAAGAAUGUGAUAGACGUAUUAAUAGCAUUUCUUUUUUUUGUCUGAAAAGGAAAGAAAAAAGUCAGCAUCUGGAUUCAACAAUAUAAUCAAGGAACUCUAUUCUCAGCAUGUAUAAACUGGUAUCAUACUGAGUCCUAGACGAACCUAUUGCUUAAGAUCACCUUUCCAAGAAAGUGACUAUGAAUCUUUCCAUACUAAAAGAGGAGAGAAAGGCAAGGAAUGUAUCGACUACAAAAGAUAUCUUACAAUCUUUCAGUAAUAAUCAGCAUGUUUUUCUUUGCUAUACAUCUGUUACUAUUUGUGUACACUUUUUCUGGAAUGCUUGUUUUUUUCACUUCUCCUCACUGUUUAAUGUGCAGACUUCUCAGAAAAUUCCAUGUUCACUGAAAGAUCUUUUAGUACAACCUGCAUAUUAUGUUCAGUAAACUUACGAAGCUUUGAAAAUGAGAAAUUUCAAUUAUGCAAUUGAUAAGCAAAAUUACAGAAGGCAAACUUCUAGAGAAGUUUCACCAAAACAUAAAAAAGAGAAUACCUUAAGUAAAAUUGCAUAAAUAAUAAGGGGGUUAAAAAACCCCCAAAACACCCUGGAAAGCCUAUCAAAAUGUCAAAAAAUGGGAACCACAUCAAAAUUUCAUUUUAAAAAAACAUAAUUUAAGAAGAAAACCAAAAAGAAUUUGAUUAGUAAAAUUCUUAAGGGAAUUAUUCUGAUUUUUCAACAUUUCAGAAGCGCAAAUUUCUUUAUAUCUAUUAAUCUGUGUCAUAGUAAUAAUAAAGCAUAUUUUAAAUUGCAGAAAAUAUCCAGGUUUUUCUUUUGUUCAAGGAGGAUAAACAAAAAUUACUAUAUAAGAAAGAUUAUCUCAAUAAUAGACACUUACGAUUUUUAUUUCUACUUUCAUUACUAUAUCCCACACCAAAAACAUACAAUCUCUUGCAUAUUAAGUAGCUCUUCAAUGUUUACAUAUCAGAAUUACCUUUUUUGUAUUUACUUAAAUAAAGAGAAAAAUAUUUUGGAAGGUGCAAGCUGCCAUUCCUAGUUUCAAAACAAAAUGUUGUUCACAGAAUAAAAUAUUUUGGCUAUGACUAUGAAAUAAAAACAUACAAAACAAUACAGCAUUUUCAAGAAGAAUGUCCCUCAAGCCCAUAUGUGAGACUGAGAUAACUCCAGCAUUUCUAGCACUUGAAGGUACAAAUUAGCUUUGCUUUCUGCUCACCAUUUUACCCAGUAUUUUAUACUGCCUAAUGGUCGCAUGGAAAUGGCUCUUCUUCAUGCCAGGAAUUAUUAAAGAGAUUAUGUUUAGAAUGGAUUUGUACCCUAUAGGACACCUUGCUUAAGCAGCUAAAUGCUAUGCUGAAGUUGGAUAUCCCGUGGGAACACAUGUAGCCACUGCCUCAGAGUGUUACUGGAGUCAAGUAUUUUGUAAUGUGUCUGCUUUUGAACAGAUUUUCUUGUUGGCUUUGACAAGGUCUGAAAUCUUUGACAGCAUGGUUGCCUGCAGCUUUAUAACUGCUUCAGUCAUACUCCCACAUCUCAGUUUUGUUAUCUAAUUUCAGGGAGUGAUAUGAGACCAAGUUGAGAGAGAGGAUUAAUGUCUGUCAAUUUCAUAAUCUCAUCCACUUAUUUAGAAGACGUCUUUAUUCUCUUGGCUAGAAGUAAGGGGCAUAUGGGCAACCUGUGUCGCCAGUUCAGAACAGGUUCUAAAGAGUUUGGCUGUUUAUUUGUAGCCUUCACUGUAAAAGCUGUGCUUUACAGAUAAAGCAAUUGUUGGACUGUAUAAUCCGGAACUCUCAUGAGUGCCAUAAUUGCUGAUGCAACAAGAUACCAUGGAUUAAAGCCUUAACUGGUGGGUGAUGUUCUUGCUUAAAGAGAAGAAAUGUUUAGUUUCAAGGACUAUAACAUUUGCUUGAUGCUGUCUUUUGUAGAGACCUUGGGAAGGAUUUUCAUUAACAUAUUUUGUGCUCUGACAUAAAAAUAAGCAUUACCUGUGCCUUUCAAAAGCAAUUCUCAGUCCACUGCUCUACCAACCUAUCUCCACCUCUGCCUUGUUUUUAAUGAGUGUUAAAAACAUGUGCCAGUUAUGGCUUCUGUAUACAAGAAGAUCAAUGCAGAGUUUGCUCCAUCCAACAGUGGCUCUAGCCACUUGUAACCGGUUGAGUAAAUUAAUUUCAACUCAAUGUGUGCCCAAAUUAUGACACCUUUGCUAUGCCUUCUUUUACUUUCCUGCAACAGAGAAGUUCUGGAAAGGUGAGCCAAGACCCUUUUCUUAAUUUACAACACAUUGUAGAUUUGUUCACAAAUCUGAUUGUCAAACUGUGUUCAUUCGUAAUGUUGAAACUUGAUGCAGGAUGUCUUUGAUCCCAGGAUGAUGUUAACAUCAUUUUCAUAAGCAAUAUUUUUAUUCACAGCUGUUAGUGCCUAAACAGAAAGUCAGAAGCAAACUGACCAUUCUGGAAAUUAUAAUAAUAGAGAGUUUUUGAGCUUCUGAGGGGUGAGGAACUAAAAAAUAAAAUCAAACAAUUGCUGUGGUAAUUUUGCAAAGUAGGCAACUAAAUGUAGAAAUGACAGAAGUCAAAUCCAGCUACAAAAAAUUUAGAACCUAUCUUUUGUAUGCAGACUGGUUUGAAUACUGUUAGCAAAUUACAAAGACUUUUACUCUCAGCAACAUAGUUAACUUUAAAAUCAAGAAAGAUUUUAGCUAUAAGAAAAGCAAAUAUCAUUCAUGUUUCAGGAAAACAAUUAACCAGUCUGUUCUUUGAGUGUUUUAUAAUGGAUCCAUCAUAAUGGAGUACUUGCAGUAUAUGACUGCACAUGUGGGUAUUUCAUAGAGUCUGCCCAUGUUUGAAAGUGUCCUACAUGGCAAACGGGGACUUAACAUUUGGCUUUAGGUAAGACACAUCAUGCGUAGGAAGUAACUUAAAUGUCAGAAUGAGUGUAGUCUUGAGCUUUUAAAGGAUUUAGAGGGUAAGAUGGCAUCCUUGGAGGUUUUUUUCCUUUUGUGCAUUGGGAAAGUGUUUGAGAUACGCUGUGAUUCAGCCAUACACUGCAGACUACAUGCUCUGGAACAGGAUAGCUCCACAAGGGCUAAUUCUUGCAAAUGCUGCAUCAUGAAACAAGAACUACCUUAGCAAGUGUGUCUUUUGUACUGUUCCACUGCAAGAAAACACACCAUAUAAAUAGUUCUGAAAUUUGGUAUUAAUGACAUAGUGUAAGUCACUUUCAAAACCCAACAAAAAUAGAUACCUCUAGAGAUCUUUGUUAUUACGUAUUUUGCAAGAUUUUCAGGGAUUUUUCACAAGAUCAAUAGUGUUAGGCAUGGAAAAUAGGAAUAAUUGAUUUCUGCACCUGCAAUGAAGAGGACACUGUACAUAUUCUCUAUGUCACAUAUUAUUAUAUUGACACCAGAUGCAGAGGUAGAGCAGGUAUGUAUGACAAGCAUACAGAACACUUAUUCUGAGAUUUGUUCCCUUGCCUCACAUUUUCUCAUUUCUAACAUAAGAUGUUAAAUAUAUGAAACUGUCACAUAUAUGAUUAAUGGAACACUAUUUGUCUUCCACAAAGAGAUUAUUCAAAACGUAUAUAGAACAAAGAACCAUAUAUCUUCACCAAUGUUAGAAAAAUCUCCUUCAGGUAAUGAACACUUUGAGAGACAUUUAGAAAAGAAAAGCAUUAGAACUUUGCUCAGUCAUCAAAAUUGGGUAUUUUUAUAACAUUGAAAUAAUGGCCAAAGCUAGGCAGGGUUACAUAACAACGUGCUUGUGAAGAGUUUUCUGGCUUCAUGCCUGACCGUCUCUUUAGGCUGUUUGCCUAAAUCUCUCUGGCUUUUUAAAGCAAACCGUUUCAAUGUAGGUUUCUCUUACUACAUGAUUUAUAGAGCAACCACUCAGUAUAACAUUAGGGAAUCCAGAGCCUCAGGAUCCACGAUGUAAGGAAAACUUAAAAGUCAAGGCUGGACAUUCCGAUUUGCUUAAUGAAAUAUGCUUUUGUCUUAGGGCAAAUGUUUGAAAGCUCCAGUGGUUCUCUGACUUAUAUCCUGAACUGAAUAAAAACAAAGUCUCAAAUGUAAAAAUUCUGUAAGAAACAACAUGCUAUAGUCUAAAUGAGUUUCACAACACUGUACCUGUUAAUGAAGGAAAGACCUUGGUAACUGGAGUAUUCCACAUAACUGAACCUUUAGUUAUAGAGAAGUAUUGUAUUCCUUUAAGUAUAAGAAUUUCUUUAUUUUAUAUAUGGUCCAAUUAAUUAAUUAAUUAAUUUUUUUCCUUAGACCCCUGCUUUAUUUUUUGUAAACUAUAAACAGAGAGAGAAGUAGGAUUCCUGUGUAGAAGUAAAAAACUAUGAUGCUUCAGGAGAGUUUUGAUCAGAUGUUUACUUGAUCAGAAUUGUGUGCAUAAAUGUAUGUCUAGUUAAUCCAAACCCAAAUAUAAAGUUGUUCUCUGCAUGUA